AUCCUAGUGAUGAAAUUGGUAAACAUAACAAGCUUAAAACUUGUAGGCUAAUGCCUUAAAGGUUCGAGUCCUUUUUAGGAUA
rnacentral:tRNA from 2 species